AGAAUCAACGCUGGCGGCGUGCCUCAGACAUGCAAGUCGAACGCGAAAGUCCCCUUCGGGGGAUGAGUAGAGUGGCGCACGGGUGAGUAACACGUAGGUAAUCUACCUUCGGAUGGGGAAUAACAAUCGGAAACGGUUGCUAAUACCGCAUAAUGCAGCGGCACCUAAUGGUGACAGUUGUUAAAGCGGGGGAUCGAAAGACCUCGCGUCUGAAGAGGAGCCUGCGGCGGAUUAGCUAGUUGGUAAGGUAAUGGCUUACCAAGGCUACGAUCC
rnacentral:rRNA from 1 species